CAUCUAUGAAAAAAAAAAGAUCUGGGAAAGGAAAUGGCAAACCACUCUAGUAUCUUGCCAAGAAUACCCCCAAUGGAGUCCCAAAGAGUUGGACAUAACUGACAAUGACUGAACAACAACAAUAACACCCUUCGAGAACAACAAGGCCAGCACUCAAGAGGGUGGAAGAAGUCAGAAAGAUUAAGCACCCCUGCUAUGAAGACUGGAUAUUGGAAUAUACUGGUUUUUUUCUUGCUCUAAGUUCAUUCCUGUUCAUGUUCUGUUUCCUGUGGGGAAAAUAAUACAAAACAAAGCCCCAUUACAGGAGCCAACGUCUACUGAAAGCCUGAAGCCUUGACCUCCCCAUCCCCUGACUAUUCUAGAUUCACAGCUUGACUCCCCAAUCUGGCUGAGCUAAACGGCAACUUCUGUGGGUCCUUUCUUUUAAAAUGCUGUUCCGGAAGAAGAUCCCUGGACUGUUUCCUCCCACGACUCUGCUCGCCUUCUCCGAUGGUGUCUUCUUUCACUUGGGUCCUCUAAUUGGCACGCUGGAUGGUGAGGAAUUCCCCUAAGCACCCAGGAGGCUGGCUGACUUCCCUCCCUUGAAUCUAUUUACAUUUGCCUUUCCAGAGCAGCUAGGAGAGUCCACCCACCAAAUAAUCUGUAGCAAUAGCUGGCUCCCAUCUUUAGGGUGGUAUCAGAACUCCCUCGCCUUUGAGGGAAGGGAGCCAUGCUUGUAAACCACAGAAAGAAGACUUGAGCUUGCUGAAGUGUAAGCAAAGGAGCAGGCCACUGACAAACAGCCACUUAGAGCAGACAGUUAGGGAGGCCAAGAAGGGGCAGUGAGUUGAUGAAUGUAACUAUGAGUCACUAAGUUGAACCAUCCUUCCCAAGAGACAUCAUUUCUCCACAAAUGUUUUACUCCAGAUUGUCACGAGCGAACACACCACACUGUUUCCACAAUAUCGAGUUUGGCAACACUCGUGUUUCUGAAUCGAGUUCUAUGAGAAUGUCCGUCCUUUGAUCCACCUUAGUUAUUGACUCCUGUAUAUUCGUGAGUGUGGAUAUGCAUGUGUGUACUUACGCAUGCUAGUUGUGUGAAAAAACAUCUAUUUCUUCAAAGCACUGACAGGAACUUGAGGCAAAGAUGGUAACGUAAAAGGUUCUAAUCCAGGUAGGCUCCCCUGAGAAUGAAUGAAGAGAAUGAAAUCGCAGGAAGCAAGACUAACAGUCCAGGACUGUAGCAGCAGCAGGACUAAAGCUUUCUGCCCUUCUGGCAGAAGGUAGAUCUGGAAACCAAAGGAAUCUCAGGUCGGGGCCAGGCUGUCAGGAAUCGGACCCAACACAGCCCAAUUGAGGUCCCCCUAGAAGAUGAAGGUUGAAGCCAGAAGUUAGGUCCCAAGCCUCACGGGGCUUUGCAUCCAAGACGAUGGAAAUAUGGGACCAGGACCUAGCCACUCCAGGCGUGGCAGGAUCUAGGGCCAAGUCUCCAGUGCCUACUAGACAUCUCUGCCGCAAUGUCCUAUUACUGUGUAAAAAUGAUCAUUCUUGGCCUUCCCUGUCAACAGCAAUGUCUUGCUCUUGGAAUUCCUCCUGAACCAUAUUAAAAAUAUUCACAAUCUC